GUGCUCACUUCAGUAGCACAUAUACUAAAAUUGGAAUGAUAUAGAGAACAUUAGCAUGGCUCCUGCACAAGAAUGACAUGCAAAUUCGUGAGGUGCUUCAUUUAAAA